rnacentral:rRNA from 1 species
AACGUACGCUGGCGGCACGCCUAACACAUGCAAGUCGAACGAAGUAGCAAUACUUAGUGGCAGACGGGUGAGUAACAUGUAGGUAUCUGCCCUUUGGCCUGGAAUAACACGAGGAAACUUGUGCUAAUACCGGAUAAGUCUUUACGGAGAAAGCUUUAUGCACCAUUGGAUGAGCCUGCACUUGAUUAGUUUGUUGGUGGGGUAAUGGCCUACCAAGACUGUGAUCAAUAGCUGAUUUGAGAGGAUGAUCAGCCACAUUGGGACUGAGACACGGCCCAAACUCCUACGGGAGGCAGCAGUGGGGAAUCUUGCACAAUGGAGGAAACUCUGAUGCAGCGAUGCCGCGUGAGUGAAGAAGGCCCUUGGGUUGUAAAGCUCUUUCGUCGGGGAAGAAAAUGACUGUACCCGAAUAAGAAGGUCCGGCUAACUUCGUGCCAGCAGCCGCGGUAAUACGAAGGGACCUAGCGUAGUUCGGAAUUACUGGGCUUAAAGAGUUCGUAGGUGGUUGAAAAAGUUAGUGGUGAAAUCCCAGAGCUUAACUCUGGAACUGCCAUUAAAACUUUUCAGCUAGAGUAUGAUAGAGGAAAGCAGAAUUUCUAGUGUAGAGGUGAAAUUCGUAGAUAUUAGAAAGAAUACCAAUUGCGAAGGCAGCUUUCUGGAUCAUUACUGACACUGAGGAACGAAAGCAUGGGUAGCGAAGAGGAUUAGAUACCCUCGUAGUCCAUGCCGUAAACGAUGUGUGUUAGACGUUGGAAAUUUAUUUUCAGUGUCGCAGGGAAACCGAUAAACACACCGCCUGGGGAGUACGACCGCAAGGUUAAAACUCAAAUGAAUUGACGGGGACCCGCACAAGUAGUGGAGCAUGUGGUUUAAUUCGAAGAUACGCGCAGAACCUUACCAACACUUGACAUGUUCGUCGCGACUCUAAGAGAUUAGAGUUUUCGGUUCGGCCGGACGAAACACAGGUGCUGCAUGGCUGUCGUCAGCUCGUGUCGUGAGAUGUUGGGUUAAGUCCCGCAACGAGCGCAACCCUCACUUUUAGUCGCCAUCAUUAAGUUGGGCACUCUGAAAGAACUGCCAGUGAUAAGCUGGAGGAAGGUGGGGAUGACGUCAAGUCCUCAUGGCCCUUACGUGUUGGGCUACACACGUGCUACAAUGGUAUCUACAACAGGAAGCAAGACUGCGAAGUUAAGCAAAUCCCUAAAAGAUACCUCAGUUCGGAUUGCACUCUGCAACUCGAGUGCAUGAAGCUGGAAUUACUAGUAAUCGUGGAUCAGCGUGCCACGGUGAAUGCGUUCCCGGGUCU